ACUCAAAUGAAUUGACGGGGACCCGCACAAGCGGUGGAUUAUGUGGUUUAAUUCGACGCUACGCGAAGAACCUUACCAAGGCUUGACAUCCUAGGAAUCCGCUAGAAAUAGUGGAGUGCCUUCGGGAACCUAGUGACAGGUGUUGCAUGGCCGUCGUCAGCUCGUGUCGUGAGAUGUUGGGUUAAGUCCCGCAACGAGCGCAACCCUUAUCGUCUGUUGUAUUUUCAGGCGAGACUGCCCGGGCCAACCGGGAGGAAGGUGGGGAUGACGUCAGGUCAGCAUGGCCCUUACGCCUUGGGCUACACACGUAAUACAAUGGCCGGUACAACGAGUUGCCAACCCGCGAGGGGGAGCUAAUCUCAUCAAAACCGGUCUCAGUUCGGAUUGGAGGCUGCAACUCGCCUCCAUGAAGUCGGAAUCGCUAGUAAACGUGGGUCAGCAUACCACGUUGAAUACGUUCCCGGGUCUUGUACACACCGCCCGU
rnacentral:rRNA from 1 species